CAGAUGACAUCAUCAUCGAAGACUUAUAGGUAGUGUGGACUUCGGGCUUUCAGCAGGUGACAGAAUGAUGGCAGCAGGACCUCCUUUUCCAUAUUUUCGUGGGGGCAGAAGUGAAGCAGUGGCUGUGGGCCCAGAUCAGGAUAUAUGAUCUGCUCCCUGUGUAACUCCACGUGUCUCGGUCUCGAGCUGAUUGAAGGCAGAGACGGAAUUUCACCGAUUGGUGAAAAGAAGAAAGAGAACUGGAAGAGCAUGGAAUAAAAAUAAAUAUUUUAAUGUAUUUUGAAUAAUUGCACAAUAA